GAUCUUGGCAGAUCAGGAAGGAUGUCUUGGCCCUGCAGCAUUUAAGUAUGUUCAUAAGCACACAUAUGGAAAUAUAGGGCAGUGAAUCUGGGCUCUAUGAGGACCCACAGGAAGGUGAAUUCUUUGUGACUUUCAAGAGCCUAAGGCUAUAGCCUCAGCAUAUCACUGAGAAGUGUUGCAUGGUAUUUUUGACUUUAAAAAACACCAAAUAAAGUAUUGUUAGACCUUUAUCACAUUUUCUUUAAAAACUGUAAAGCUGGUGAGUGAAACAGAAAAAUAGUGGAACUGUGAGAGAAUCAUGAAAUAGUUGAUGUUGGAAGAGCUCUCUGAAGAUCAUCUGUGCCAAUCUCCUGCUCAGAGCAGAGGCAGCUCCAGCAGGCUCUUUAGGAAGACAAAAUAGCAAUUCUGAGCAUAAGGGUAGCAGGUUUCCAGGACCAUCCCCUCAGCUGCUUUAUGACAUCAGGCUACUCAUUAGCUACUCUGUAUCUCAGUGAUCCCAUCUGUGACAAAAAUAUAUCAAAUUCUAGCACAAUUCCUAAAUUUUCCCCAUACUUUCUAGAAAAACUUCUUUCCAAUAGGAAUGGGAGAUUCUUCUAAGAUUAUUUAGAAACCUGCUUAAACACUUUAAGACUACCUAAAACUUGUAUUCUACACUUCAGCACUGUUAACUCCUCUCCUCACAAAGUGUAACAUAAAUUCAGCAUAAAUUCAUCCAUCCAUCACUACUGGAGGAGACCUGAAUAGAUCCUGCUGACUUCCUGUAACCAGUUGAGAAUAGGGAAGCAGAUAAUCUGAAAGAACUGGAAAUUUUUUGAUGGAUGCUGUGAGUAACAUUUCAAAAAUAGUGUCAGCCAACAUUCAUUAUGAGCCCACAAUAACUACCCAUUUAAGUACCAUGCAAAAAGUAAUGGAAGACGAUAAUUCCCAUUGAACACCUUCAACAUGCCCUCUGUCCUAGAGGAACGUGCCUUAAUUUACACUGAAACUCGUUAGAAAAACACAAAAAACUUAAACCUCAACCCAAAUCCUAAAAAUAAAACCAACACCAACACCAGAAAAACAUUUAAGGUUAUGUACAUCCACUUCAGAGGAGACUUCAGACAUUUAAUGCCAAUGUUUAAGUUUCAGCUCCUGAGGAAUGCAAGACCAACAAAGGAAACUAUCGUGGUGUUUCAAAUGCCCCUCACUAUAAAAGGUCUCUGAAUUAGGGUGAAAAGCAUGAGGACUUUCCAAGGCUGUGCAGUUGAGGUUGUUACAUCAACACUUCAGCUGGGGUUUGUGCUUCUACAGCAGAUUUCCUCAUUGUCUUCAUUAAGUGAGCCUUUACUUGCUAGUCUCUCCACAGCAAAUGCCUUUGGAGAGAGCACACAGACCCUGGGAUCAGACUAGAGCAUGUCAGAGGUGGGAAAACCCCUAAACUAUGAAUAAGGAGAUCUUCACAUCUUCUGCACCAACUGCUUCCCUCCAAGUAGCCACUCUUGUCCCCACACUCAUCAUGGUGGGUACAGCUCACAGGCACUAUCUCCAUUAAUACUGUUUCCAAGAAGGAAUGAGUUGAUUUAAAUUACAAUAAUUUCUUGCAUCUCCACUUUGAGCUGCUACAAAGAACCAGAACAGGAAUUGAGUUAAAGUCCUUGUUGGUAGUCUUUCUACUUUUCCCACCACUACAGCUGUCACCUCAGUGGAUGAGAAAACUUAGAGAUAGUGCAGUGUUCCAGAUGCUAUUUAUUCAGAGGAUUUGUUUUUGAAAAAUGCUUAGUAUCUAUUUAAUCUUUGUGCUUUUAGAAGACCAAGAGGUAAAUGUGCUUUUUUUUUCUCUGAUAAUUAAUAUGAAAUUUAAAAAGGGGAAAGGGAAAUGGAUGGUAAACUGCUCCAUCACUCAUCAUUCCCCCUGUCUUCCACCCCCUCCCCUCCUCAAAAAAAAAGACUCCCAAACUAUAGCACAAGUUUGAAAGAAGUUUUGAAAACAAGUUAAUCAUUUUGGGGUUGGGCUGAAGCAGUGCUUAUGCACACUAGGAAAUAAAUGUGAUAAACAAGAUCUGGUUCUUCCUGUAUGUUGCUAUUGGUGAUUACUUUGUAUUUAAAUGUUUCAAAUAUAGAGAUCAGCCUUUCACAGAAUCCAAAUAGGAAAUUCAGCCAAACUCAAUGACUAACUGACCCCUGUUAGUCAUAUGUCCUCUCUUCAGCAAAUUACUAAUAAAUGCUUGUAGGAGGAAUGUCAGACAAGAUUGCACAUCAGUGCCAUUAGUAACUCUGGAUCGUCUUUCUUAUUCCAUGGUUGGAUAAGAAAUGCUUUGUCAUUUUCAGGAGUCAUGUAGAAGUGAAUUUCAUAUUCAUUUACACCUCUUAGCAGAGAUAACAUGGCAAGUAGCAAAUGGAUCAUCCUUUCAGCUGUGUGCUCCUGAGGGUUCAUUUAUAUUAAUUCUGGCAGUCAAGCAUGCAGUCAGAUAAAACACCUCCUAUUCCUAUUCUGGUUUCAUACGAAAUUAAAUACUGCCCAAACUUUAGGUCUGAAUGUGUGUGGGCAUAGAUAUACAUAUAUGUACACAAGCAUGGUAUGCCUACUUUUUGUUCUAUGUCAUUUCAAAUUCCCCAUUAUUAAUUAAGCCCUUUGGUAUCUCCCAGAAAAGGGUGAGCAGGGGCUUGAAAGUUCUCUGUUGCUAUUUAGCAGGACUCCUCCAUCAUAGCUGGAUAAAUGUCUUUAGAUGUUUAGAGAUGCUAUUAGGUACCCACUGGGAUCUAAAGACAUGACUCAGUGACACCAAAAUGUAAGGUCAUCACAUGUUUAAUCUACUUCAGAUUUUUUUUUUUUUUAAUCACAUGCAACAUACAUCUCUGUUUAACCUUCAAAGCAUCUUUUGUACACUUACACAUUGCUCCCAAGUGUCUAGCACUGGCUAUGCCUUCUGCUUACUGCCCUUUCAAUAUCAUCUUGAAAAAUAUGACAUUAAAAACCAAGUAGACUUUCUGUUAGUAAUAUUAAAGUUCAUGAGACUUCAAUUUUUAUGUUCUGUAAUUUAAAAAUCUGAGCAUAUAUUGCAAUGUGCUUUCUUAUCUUGUUCUUCAAAAAGAUGAAAUUUAUCUUACAUUACUACUAUCACAAUUGACUGCCUCCUUUAUAGAUGCGAAAGAAUGGGUUGAAAUAGCCAUCAAUAAGAAAAUAGUUUAAAAAUCUAGUUAAGUACAAUGUAGCAAUAACAAUAAGUAGCAGAUGCAGUAGCCAAGAAUGUCACUCAAUUGGUGUAGGAUGCUUCAGAAAAGCAAGCAUUUAAAUUAGUUACACAGAGACAGAAUAUAGGUGUAUGCUUUUGAGACAGUAGUGUAAAAAAUAAAUAGGUUUGAUAGAAGAAUAAUUCAGAAUGAUUAAUGAGAUGCUGAGCUGAAAAUAAACUGGAGCAAGAUGUUGUCCCCUCAUAGGAAGAUUGUAUGAGGGCUACAGAGCAACAGGGCUGUGGUGGUCCUUCAGAGGGGGAGGUGGCCACACAGUGAAUCUGCAAAUAAGUCAUUCCUAGCAUGUGGAGAAACCAUGGCUAGAGAAUAAGCUGCAGCAUUUGGCCUAAAGCAAUGAUCAGGCCCUAGCCCCUGGGAUCAGGGGGCACUAUUCCUAGUCCUCUCACUGCUAGAGGGGACCCUACACCUGGGAUAAUUUUUCUUAUUUAAACCAAAUAAGGAAAAACUGACUUUUUAAAAAGGUAAUUUGUUUUAACUUUCCUGACCUAAGCAGCAGGGACUGAGUUAUGUUCUAUUUGCAAGAGAGAAUCUGAAGAGAAGCUGGUUUUGGUCAAUCACUGUGCAUUUCAGUCCUGGGUUUGUCUUAAUCAUACUGGGACAAAUUUUACAUGUGACUGCGCAAGUGCAGAAGCAUAAGCAGAUUAUUCCAGCUGGGAGGUUAAAGGGGAAUCGUACUUCCAAGCAGAUACAGGAUUUCCUUGGAGGGAUCCACUUCAUGAGUGUCUGGAAGGGAGGUGUCUCUCCUGUAUCAGACUCAGUGGUGUUGCUUGUGGUUCUCAACACAUGCAGCCAGCCAGCAAGGGAGAGCUGGGGCUUGAGCUGCUCAUACCAUCUCUUAUUUAUAGAAUUAAGAGUUCCUACCUUUGUCUAUCUCUGCCACACUGUUACUGAUUUACCAAACAGGCCAUAGAAGGGUUUGAGAUACUUUGCAUGUGUUAAUGAUCACUAAUGUUUUACUGUUGCAUUUAUUCCUGUAGGGUCUACUUCAGCAAAUCUAGUGUGCAUAAUAUUUUUCAUUCAACUGAGAUAUUAUGCCUGGUAAACUUCUGAAAUCUCCCUUCACAUGGUAAAAUAAAAGAAUCUUUGUAGCCAUCGUUAAAUGCCUUCUCCACAAUAUUUAUGCUGCAAUCAGAACAAAGAAAAUGGGUGCUUUUGGCAGGAAAAAAAAACAGUCUUAAAAAGACACAGGCUAUUUUUGUUUUCUUACAAAGUAUAAAAUUCCUCAAAAUUUACAUAGUGUCACACAGCCUGCCAUAGCUUAUAAAAAAAAUUAUGCACUGCCUUUAGUUUUAUUUGGAAAAUUACACUGUGUUAACUCUUUGUGUCUUUGAGGGCACUUCUCUACAUUGCACAGUAAAGCUUCUUCCAGACAGAUGUGUGCCAUGCACACGGCUCAGAGUAACGCUGUGUGGAGAUAGUCACUCUGGAAAGGUUGGUUCAGAUCAUUUCAUCAGCACAGGGGCUGCCAGGGGCUGGGAGCCAGACUGCUCCUGGCCUGGGAAGAGGAGAGCUCUGAAUAAUGGGAAACUUGCUGCCGCUGCUGCUGCUGCUGCUGCUGCUGCUGCUGCUGCUGCUGCUGCUGCUGCUGCUGCUGCUGCUGCUGCUGCUGCUGCUGCUGCUGGAGGAACGAAGCAUGGCAGGAGUGAGGGAGGCUGCAAGGAUGAAGCACAUCUUUGAUGUCUUUCUCAGGAGCAUCAGCCAACUUGGUUUGUUUUUGUCUCUGGCAUAAGUAGUGUAGGCAACAGAAUAAUUCUCAAUGUAGCAAUUAACUGCUUGACUUGUCUGUGCUCAAUCACUUGAUUUACUAAAACGUGCCAGCAACAGAGCUCACUGACUCCAAGAACAGGUCUACACAAACAGCCUUCUAGGCUUGAGAUAGCCUGGCCAGUGCUUUCAUGGGGAUCUGUGCACCACACAUCCUUGUAUAGGUCAGACCUUCCCCCAUACUACAAAACCAUGCAUCUUUUAACCAAAACCCAAAAAAAGACCUCUCUGUGAGCUUGGUGUUCAAAAUGGGAAGCCUGAAGACAGCCUCCUAAGAAACGUUUUAAAAACUCAUCUUCUUGAUAUCCCUAAUUCAAUUUAAACCUUCUAUGAGGCAAAAUUGUGAGACAACAAAGCAGACUCUAACUCUUAGAUAUUUUAAUGAAUUAAUGAGCAUCCUCCUGUAGACAUUUGCUAGUCUUUCAAAUAGCUAAAGCAUAAGGUCAAGUGGUUUGUGACUACACUGUUACAAACCAAUGAUUUCCAAUCUUUUUCCCAAAACAGAGUAACUUUUUAAGGACAGUCUCCCCUAUAGCCAGUAUUUAUCUGAACAAGUAUUCUUUCCCAUAUAAAAUACAUGGAUGAUCACUGCCUGUUUAAAUUCCCAUGAUAAAGAUGCCAAAAAGUAUAGGUGAGAAAUCCAUAGUCUUAAUUUAUUGUCCUGUUUAUUACAAAGGAGGAAGGAGACCACAAAUGAGAUGUCUCUGCUCAGAGCAAAUGUGGUUGCAAGAAUCAAUCCUGCUUUGCACACAAAGGACUGAACUUCUGCUUAAAAGGCCAUGUAGAAAAUAACAUUGGUUUGAGUAUGCAAAGGAAACAUUUGUAAAGGGAGGCAUGAUGUCUGCAUCAAAUAUUUUCUUUGAAGGUAUGUCUUGUUGGCAAUGGUGGUAGAUUCAAGUGGCAUUAGCUGAAGUCUAAUAUUCACAUCAAAGGAGUGUGUGGCAAUAACCUCCUGUUUAGGGUGACUGAAGGUGGUAUGAAGUGGAUGUAUUCAGCAUGCAUAUAGCCAUUUAUUGUAAAGUAUAGAGUAAUGGGAAAGAUCCUCAGGACCAUCUCCUUGCUCGUCAGUGUAGCCUUAGGCAGUGGAAUCCAAAUCAGGAAUAACAGGCACAAAAUGUAGAAUAACUAGCUGAGUUUCCCCGGUAAGACUACCAGAAGCAAACCAUGUUAUGGCAAUGUUGUUCUCCAGUCUGUCAGCUUCACCAUACAUCGCUAAGACCUAUUCCAUAGAGAAAAAUGAAAUAAAAAAUAUUUUUAUAAAUGCAGAACUUGAUCAAAAUAUAAAGAGUCACAGAUUCAAAGAUUUCAUGCCUGUCCUAACCAACAUAUUGCAACAUUUUCAGUUUCUCACUGAUUUCAUAAAUCCAGUGCUCAUCAGAACUUAGCAACAAAAAACUUAAAAGAUUAAUGUCUUUCAUUCAAGUGGCUUGUGAGGCAGAUGGUCCCAAAAUUUUUAUAUAUGAAGAGCCAUUAAAAAAGUGCUGUUGUAUUUUAACAUCAUUCAUUACCUAAUUUUAAAUAUUGAGUGACUGUAUUCUAAAGUCAGAAAUGAAAAAAUCUGAUCAAAACUGCAUCUGUUGCCAAAUCUCUUUGUUAGGGAUAUGCACAUAGGAACUCACCUGCUGGCAGCAGGAACUUAGUCACUGAAUAUGAAAGAAAAUGAGUGCAGCAAAUGCAAACAAAUGUCUCAUCUAGGUCAUUAGCUAAAGAGGUCAUUUUAGAAAAAUAAUCUUUAUGUGUGUUAUCAAGAAAUCGCUCAGAUUUAAAAUGAGCAAUUACCGGAAAAUAUCCAGUGAAAGGCAGAGUAAUUCCCCUAGCUGUCAGAGACUACUGGCUGUUCAUACCAGCCUUCAUUCUAGACCUCUCUUUUAAUAUAUUUUCAAAUAAAUUCUUCGUAAGACCUCCAAGGCUCAUGAAGAUGACUGAAGUGUGAUAGACUGAUUAGUGUCUUGCCUCCAACUUUUCAUCAGUCAGCAGUUUCCUAGAAUUUCUCUGUAAUCUUUAGGACUAUGAGUCUGGAUUUGGAGAUUUAUUUUUCUCUCUUUGGCAUUUCCAAAGCUGGGUAUCUAAGUCUGCCCUUGUCACCCUUAACCCUUUCUACAAUUAAGCAGGAGUAAAAGGCGAUUCCAAUGGGGAUUUGCUCCACCUUAACGAAAAUAUUUAAAUCGUGUGAAAUAAAUCCCUUCUGUGAACACUGCUCCUCUUUAUCUUCUCUAGCAUUAGAGGAAAUGAGGAACAAUUGUUGUGGACUUCAGCAUCUGUCUCUGAGACAUCUACAGUCAGAUGAGAUGAAUCUUAACUUGCAAGAGAAAUAUUUGUCCCAAUACCAGCUGAAGUUACUACACAAUGUACUGCUUUGGGGACCUGGUGGUGUCUGGUAAAAAUUACUAGGAACCAGAACAAAAACCCUGGGUUCUCAUAUUUGUAUUGUAAUAUUUGUACUUGUAUUUGAAUCACUGUGUACUUUGUUGCAGACUACCUGCCCACCAAAGACAGCUGGGAAAAGGAUCGUGCAUGGAGCAGCUAUGCCAGCCUGUGUUUGUUUUCUCUGCACCAGCCCUUAUGGCAAACAGAAAAUGUGAUCAUGGCCAGGACAGAGAUGGUGGGAUGAAUGCUUCCCAGAGCACACACAGUUGUACAUACAGACAGCUUUGCAAAGUGGAAGAAAGUGAUCCCUACCUCUGUGCCCUGGGUUCUCUCCUGCUUCAAAUUCUUGCAGCUUAUGAGUGUUUGUUAUCAGUUACAUUACCAAAACAAGCACUGCAAUUACUUCUUUAUAUAUCAAUAAAGACAUGUCUGUACUACCUAAAAGCAGAAUUGCCAGUAUUCCCUGUUGGCAUGAUGUCUGACAUCAAGUGGGGCAAUAACCACACAGAAACAGAGGAAAUAAAAAGAAUCUUUUUUUAAUAAAAGACAUUGUACUAGAGUUGGGGAGAUUUAAAUGAAAGGAAUAUUUUUCAAUCCAAGAAGAGCCGCUACACAACCAGCCCAUUUUUUGCUGUACUUUUUGCCUUGCAGUCCAUUAAUGAUUUGGCAUGCUAGUUUCAAGAGAAAAGGGGGAUCUCAAUGGGAGAACAGGUCAUAAGUGUGAUAAGUGUGCUGGGUGCUGCAGAUAUUAACCUCUUCCUUAAAUAUGGGAAGAGCAAAAUUCAUGCAAUGUGUGUGAAUUAGAAACAACAACACAGUGCUAGGGUAGCAGGACCUUUUCUACCUUUUGUGUAACAGAAAGGAAUUACCUCAGAAGAGACUUAACCUGCAGUCCAUGCUCAGGGAAUAUUCACUCCAAAAUUUGAACAUGUGGAGGCAUCCAAAAAGAGAAGGGGUAGAGCUGUGAUUUUGGGCAAACAUGGGGUUCAAACCAGGGUUUUACUAAGGGUGAUAGACCUCUCACUCUAGUCUUUUUCUGAACACAUGUUUGAGUGGUUUAUUUUAGAUUUACAUCUGCUCUAUAUUUUUAUAAAAAAGAAAUCCUUCACAAUGGUGGUGGUGAUUUUUUUUUUUAUGAAAGGAUAUGGUUAAUAAUAAUGGUAAGUGUUAAUAAAUUCAGUCAACUCCUGUGCAACGGACAUAAUGCUCUUGGCAUCCCUGCAAGAAACAAAGCAGAACAAUUAUGAGUCAUCAAAUGUAUUUGUCAGAGGAUUUUGUGUGGUAAAAAAAAGCCUGUUCAUGUUAGCAUAGUGCUGAAAGACAAGGAGUGAAUUAUAGCUUGGAAAGUGAUGGGAUAGAUAUAAAAUCCAAGGGUCCAGAGGCCAACUGACUAUAUAGACUCAGCUGGAGACAGAAAAUACAUGUUAUGUAUUUUUUCAAUGGAUUCUUCCAUUUAUCCUGUUAAGAAGUAGUGACUCCCCAAAUCAAAUGUGAGUUAGGCUAGAAUUUUAAUCAUACUAGAAAUGUUGCCACUGCAAUUGGUGUUUGAAGCUCUUCUAACUGAUAGUUAUGCUAUUUGUUCUACUGUGAAUGCAGAGAACCAGCGACACAGAAACAGGAGCUGUGGAUAACAGGAGAGGCACAGUGGCAUGCAGGCAACUCUGUGAGAAGUUCCUGAUGAAGUGGUGCAUAUGUGUCCUCUUUUUGUGGAUGCUGGUGUCAAGGGGAAUCCUGGACCUGUUCUGAUAACCUAGAGUUUACAAGCAGCAUUCUCAGAAACGUUAAAUUUCCUUUUGUCAUUGCCCUGAUAAGGCUCUCUAAAGGUACAGGCCGAUGAGAAUCUGUGUGUUGGCAUUCUAAUACUAGUUACUAGGAAUAAUUUAGGGAAAUUACUCAAUUCUUUAUGGUAUAGUGGAAGAACUUUAUUACUCUCUUUUAUAUUUUUCUAGGAAAAGAAAUGUGUCUGCAAUUGGAGAUUUUUUUCUUAUUACAAUGAAGAUGUGAAAUAAGCAAAAAGCAGUUUUGUAUGUACCUUCAGGGUUUGAAUUUAAGAUAACUAAUGAAGAAUUUGAAAACACCUGGAUUGAUUUUCUUCAGACAUGUAAAGUACCUCCAGUUGUGCAGGAGCUGAAGUGUUCAAUGUAAGGACGUCACCAAACUUGAAUUUUCUCACUGUGGUGGAGGUUGGAUACAACUGGACAAUAAGCUGGGAAUGGCCAUGGAGGGAACUGAAGCCUUUUCAAAAGAGGACUGGAUGAAAAGCUCAUGAAACAAAUCCUAAAUAAUUUGUCUUCAGCUCUGUCUCUCUCUAUAUAUAUCUAUAUAUAAUAAACGGAUACAAAUUUCA